rnacentral:misc_RNA from 1 species
ACUGUCAUGGGGCUGUCUUUUCAUUGUCCAUUUGCCUAGUAAUUUGCUAGUUAUGGAUGAUUUCCAUCGGUCGCCUGUAUGGUUCUACUCUUUUGGGUAGUGCAUGAUUGUUUUGUUGACGCUUAUUUAGCCUGCUCUGUUAAUGUUAUUGUUGACAGGACGGCCGAGAUGUCAGCGAAUUUCAAGUGCUUCCAUGUGCGUAGCCAUGGUAAUGCACUGGA